AGAAGAUCCAUCCUUUUCCCCCCGUGUGCCGGAGGAGGUGGGGACACCUGCCCAGGAGGAAUCCAGGGAAAUCGAGGAACCGCCGGGAUCGGGGACGGAGGCCGGGACUGCUCUGCAGUAGGAAGGAUUCUGCUGUGCCGGGGCCCGGAGCCGAUGGCAGAGAAUGUCCACGACUAACAACAUAGCGCAGGCCCGCAAGCUCGUGGAGCAGCUCCGCAUCGAGGCCGGCAUCGAGAGGAUCAAGGUGUCCAAAGCAUCCUCGGAGCUGAUGAAUUACUGUGAGCAGCAUGCCCGGAACGAUCCUCUCCUGGUGGGAGUUCCCGCUUCCGAGAAUCCCUUUAAGGACAAAAAACCCUGCAUCAUCCUAUAGCUCCGGAUCCUUCCGGAAAGGAAUUCCCAUCCAACCUCCGGAUCCAGGUUCCUCCACACUUCCACCUGCGCCCAGAGGAUCUGAUUCUUCCUCUGUGUUCGAGACCAGAGCUUGGUGCUAUCCCGGAGCCGGGAAUUCUUCCUCCUCCUCCUCCUCCUCCUCCUCAGGGGCUCCAACCCCCACCCCCGUCCCGGGAGAAUCCCACGGGAUGGGGAUCCCAAGGAAUUCUCGCUCAGAGGCUUCGGGGUCCCUCUGCCUCCCCCAUCCCGGGAUCCUGCCCGAGACAAAGGAGCUGGGAGAAGGGAAAAAGGGGAUGGGAGAAGGGAAAAAGGGAUGGGAG